rnacentral:lncRNA from 10 species
CCCAAACUCAGGCCCUGUGACAGCGACUGUGGCGGUCUGGAAAGCGUGGGCCUCGGUCAUUGGGCACGAGCGGUCACGUGACAGCGGGUUCCUCCAGGCCAGCGCUGGUGGUUGAGUGAUGUAAUCACGUGGGGUCUGAAGUCUUCGUGGGUGUAGGUUUCUUCGUUAUGCUGACGACAGGCAGUGCCCGAACUCUAGGCUGGGAGUUGUGCCAUGCUGCUGCUUUCGUGGGCUGACCAGAAAAGGGUAGAAGGAUUGACGUUUACGAAGUUUUUGAAUCAGGAGGCAAGGUCGCCUUGUGCCCCCAAAAGGAUAGAAAAAGGCCUGGCAAACUGGAGAAUCGCGUCCUUACGGUGCCUACAUAUUUAUAGUACGAAUUAAACUGCUCAAGGGGUGCUAGGUUUGUCUGCAGUCCGUUUCUCCCUCAUGGUGGAAGACGCGUGGGGAAACUUGGUAUCCUGUGUUUUCCAGUUGAAAGCUUGUGAAAAUUCGCUUUAUCCUUGAAGUUCAGAAUUUUCACCAGGAUGUAUGAAGACCCUGUCCUCGAUGGAUCAGCUGGCACCACCCAGAUGGAUAAACUGGCUCAUCUGAUCUUGUGGCCCCCAUCCAGGAAGUGACUCAGUGUAAGAAGACAGCUUCAACUCCCUAUGAUUUCAUCUCUGACCAAUCAGCACUCUCGGCUCACUGGCUUCCUCCAACCCACCAAUUUGUUCUUUUUUUUUUUGAGACCAAGUCUCACCUGUCGCCCAGGCUGGAGUGCAGUGGCGUGAUCUCUGCUCACAGCAACCUCCGCCUCCUAGGUUCAAGCAAUUCUCCUGCCCCAGCCUCCCGAGUAGCUGGGAUUACAGGUGUGCGACUCCAUGCCCGGCUAACUUUUGCAUUUUUAGUAGAGACAGGGUUUCACCAUGUUGGUCAGGCUGGUCUCAAACUUCUGACCUCGUGACCCACCCGCCUCGGCCUCCCAAAGUGCUGGGAUUACAGGCAUGGGCCACUGCGCCCAGCCAAUUUGUUCUUAAAAACUCUGAUCCCUGAAUGCUUAGGGAGACUGAUUUGAGCAGUAAUAAAACUCUGGUCUCCCACACAGCCGGCUCUGUGUGAAUUACUCUCUCUCUAUGGCAAUUCCCAUCUUGAUAGAUUGGCUCUGUCUAGGCAGCGGGCAAGGUGAACCCAUUGGGCGGUUAUAAAAGUAUGGAGGUUUAUUGCAAAGAGAAAAUUACAUAUUCAAGAAAGGGGAGUGUGAACAUACUCGAGAGUGACACAGCCCGAUUUGAGGUUUUUAUCUUUACGGAUUUCUUUAACCAAGGAAUGGAAUAUUCAUGAAGAAUCCUGGAAAAAGGUGGAGAUUUCUCAGAAAUGUGGUGCCAUCCAUUUUUUAACCAAAUAUGGGACUGUCAUGGCACUGGUGGGUGUGUGAUUUAGUACGUUAAUAAGCAUAUAAUUAGGUCCUAGGUGAAACCUAGGUCAAAUCCAGCGCCAUGUUGUGUCCUGUCAGCCUUAGCGAGUUUGGCCCACACCCCGGUUUUUAGAAUCUUAUCAGCUUCUACCUUAUGUAGCUAUUUUAACAGAUUUUUUCCUUGUUAGUUACGUGAAACUGCUGCCUGGAAUUAUUAAAUUUUUCUGCAACCACCUUGUAUUAUUCCUGUCUCAUUUUCCCC